rnacentral:lncRNA from 1 species
AAUUUCAUCCAUUAAAAGACAAAGAAGCCUAUCAUGUUACAACUUUUAAGAAGUACCUAGUAUGACUAAUGUUUCAGAACAAUAUAAUAAAACCUCACUCUCAUACCAUAUUAAACAUCAAUCUUAAAUAGAAAAAAAGAAUUACAUGAAAGGAUUUGGGAGGAAAUAGAAAAACAAUUAAUGUAUAUGUAAGACCCAAUUUUAGCCCGGGCUCAAAUAUCUAGUUACAGCCCACACACAUACAAAAGCAAAAAUAAAUAAUAAACCCAAAAAUAAAACCAAUUACAUUAAGCAAGCCCAAUAGCCUAAAUCAGAAAGACAUGGAAAACCCUAGGCUAUUUCCUUGUGCUGCAGGCCCCACGUUUAGCGUCCCUCCACCGCACACGUCGGCACAUCAAGCACGACUCCUAGCCAGUGUGUAGCACGCACCACGCCCCAUGACGCUCUCCUCCACGAUCUGCAAUUUGAGCGAGAGAGUAGCAAGUAACUGUUUGUAUUUGGCUAUAAAGCCUUCAAAUUUUUCAUUGUAUGCGGUUUUUUUUUUAGAUACGAAUACACACAAAAUCAAGAAACAGCAAUAAAAAUCAGAUUCAAGAUUCAAAAGGUUGAGGUUUUCUCAUUGUUUUUCUUUUCGCAUCCUUGUUUCUUUUUUCACCUUUUUACAAAUUUUUAAAUAAAAGCCGAAAGAAAGGAGGCUUACCUGGGUUCUCACCGUGGAUCGGCGUCAGAGGCGGUAGUUGAAGGCUGGAUAUCAGCCGUUCGGUUCAAAAGCAGAGAGGAGAGUGAAGGUGCUAAGAAAAUAUCUCAAAAUUUUAGGGUUUCUUUUUAAAGCUUAAAAUGUUUUUUUUUAAAUGAUUUAAAUGGUGAAAUUGAAACAGCAUUAGGGGGGGGGGAAGAAGCCCGUGCGUUGACCCAAUACAUAGGCUGGGUCCACGUAUUUUUACCUUAAAUGGGUAAUUUGCGUGGCCAGUCAUUCGCAUUCGCGCCAGUUUUAAUUAGCUCAUAUUUGCAUUUUAUUUGUUUUAUUAAAUUUUCCCUGUAAUUUGCGCGUUGUUGCAAUUUGGUCCGCGCCCAGGUGUUGCGUUUUGAGGACUUGGGACAUUUUCAGUUUUAAUCCUCGAACAUUUGAACGCAUUUUAUUUUGGCCCUCAACGUUUAAAUGAUUUGUUUUGUUUAUAAAUUAUCCUUUAGAAUUUGUUUUUCUUUCAAUUAAGUUUAGUUAUUCAUUUUUAAAAAAAAAUAAAGGCAUACUAUUUUAAUAUAUUAUUUUGUAUUAUUAUGUUGAUUUCACACUUUUUUUUAAUUUUAUUUUUCGUGUGCAUAUUUGUUUAUUCCAAACGCUUUCAUAUACUAUUAUAUUUCUAUAUAUAUUAUCUAUAUUAGGUUUUUCAUUUCAUAUAUUAUUUACUUAAAUAUUGUAUAUAUAUCGCUUUGCAUAUCACUUAAUUUUUUUUUGAA